rnacentral:rRNA from 1 species
UACGAAGGGGACUAGCGUUGUUCGGAAUUACUGGGCGUAAAGCGCACGUAGGCGGAUUUGUUAGUCAGGGGUGAAAUCCCGGGGCUCAACCUCGGAACUGCCUUUGAUACUGGGGAUCUCGAGUCCGGGAGAGGUGAGUGGAACUCCGAGUGUAGAGGUGAAAUUCGUAGAUAUUCGGAAGAACACCAGUGGCGAAGGCGGCUCACUGGCCCGGUACUGACGCUGAGGUGCGAAAGCGUGGGGAGCAA